rfam:Brassica rapa chromosome A6, whole genome shotgun sequence.
AUUAUGGUGUCACUUGACACCACCAGUAAGUAUAAAAAGAAUUUGU